AUUGAACGCUGGCGGCAGGCCUAACACAUGCAAGUCGAACGAGUGGCGGACGGGUGAGUAAUGUCUGGGACACUGCCCGAUGGAGGGGGAUAACUACUGGAAACGGUAGCUAAUCCCGCAUACCAUCAGAUGUGCCCAGAUGGGAUUAGCGAGUAGGUGGGUUAACGGCUCACCUAGGCGACGAUCCCUAGCUGGUCUGAGAGGAUGAACAGCCAGCCUGGAACUGAUACAGGGGCCAGACUGCUACGGGAGGCAGCAGUGGGGAAUAUUGGACAAUGGGCGCAAGCCUGAUGCAGCCAUGCCGCGUGUAUGAAGAAGGCCUUCGGGUUGUAAAGUACUUUCAGCGAGGAGGCGUUACUCGCAGAAGAAGCACCGGCUAACUCCGUGCCAGCCGCCGCGGUAAUUC
rnacentral:rRNA from 1 species